UGGGGAAUCUUGCGCAAUGGGCGAAAGCCUGACGCAGCCAUGCCGCGUGAAUGAUGAAGGUCUUAGGAUUGUAAAAUUCUUUCACCGGGGACGAUAAUGACGGUACCCGGAGAAGAAGCCCCGGCUAACUUCGUGCCAGCAGCCGCGGUAAUACGAAGGGGGCUAGCGUUGCUCGGAAUUACUGGGCGUAAAGGGAGCGUAGGCGGACUGUUAAGUUAGAGGUGAAAGCCCAGGGCGCAACCUUGGAAUUGCCUUUGAUACUGGCAGUCUUGAGUACGGAAGAGGUAUGUGGAACUCCGAGUGUAGAGGUGAAAUUCGUAGAUAUUCGGAAGAACACCAUCGGCGAAGGCGACAUACUGGUCCGUUACUGACGCUGAGGCUCGAAAGCGUGGGGAGCAAACA
rnacentral:rRNA from 1 species